GUGUGUGUGUGUGUGUGUGUGUGUGUGUGUGUGUGUGUGUGUGUGUGUGUGUGUGUGUGUGUGUGUGUGUGUGUGUGUGUGUGUGUGUGUGUGUGUGUGUGUGUGUGUGUGUGUGUGUGUUUACCAGUACAUAAAGGUUCUACUGAGGGAGUAGGGUGUGUGUUUGUGUGUUUACCAGAAUAUAAAGGUUCUACUGAGGGUAGACAUUGAGGGAGUAGGGUGUGUGUGUGUGUGUGUGUGUGUGUGUGUGUGUGUGUGUGUGUGUGUGUGUGUGUGUGUGUGUGUGUGUGUGUGUUUACCAGUACAUAAAGGUUCUACUGAGGGAGUAGGGUGUGUGUGUGUGUGUUUACCAGAAUAUAAAGGUUCUACUGAGGGUAGACAUUGAGGGAGUAGGGUGUGUGUGUGUGUGUGUGUGUGUGUGUGUGUGUGUGUGUGUGUGUGUGUGUGUGUGUGUGUGUGUGUGUGUGUGUGUGUGUGUGUGUGUGUGUGUGUUCACCAGUACAUAAAGGUUCUACUGAGGGAGUAGGGUGUGUGUGUGUGUGUGUUUACCAGAACAUAAAGGUUCUACUGAGGGAGUAGGGUGUGUGUGUGUGUGUGUGUGUGUGUGUGUGUGUGUGUGUGUGUGUGUGUGUGUGUGUGUGCGCGUGUGUGUGUUUACCAGAACAUAAAGGUUCUACUGAGGGAGUAGGGUGUG